AUCAUACAUCGAGAUAUAGUGACAAACAGUAACGUUGUCUAAAUUGACAAUAACACGCACAUGCUAACUGCCCUUUUUCACAACAUCUGU